GGAGUAACUAUGACUCUCUU
rnacentral:ncRNA from 3 species